rnacentral:rRNA from 1 species
CGGUGAGGUGACUUGUCUGGUUAAUUCCGAUAACGGACGAGACCUCGACCUACUAAAUAGUGGACUGUGGUUACACAGUCACAACUUCUUAGAGGGACAUUGAGAGUUUAUCUCAAGGAAGUUCGAGCCUAUAACA